GGGCAUAAAAGAUGAAAGUGCACAGAAUACAGAAUCGUGGGUAGAUCAUGAAAAUCACUUUUUCUGUGUUAAUAAUCUUAAAUUGCCUACAAAUUUCUCUGUAAUAUUAAGAAAAAUCCAGUUGCUGCAUUUUAAUGAAGCCUACUAAACAAUAUGUCAAUAAAAAUAUUUUACAAAGAUACAUUAAUUUAAAAGUAUGAGAUUCUAUUCCCUUACAACCAACUAACAGGUCUCUUCAUUAAAGUUUUUAAGUCUAAAGAUUUCUUUUUUAAAAACUUCUCUAGAUGGGAGUCUGCUUUGAAAAUUAUAAGCUGGGUGUAAUGGCACACACCUUUAAUUGCAGCACUUGGGUGAUAAAGGCAGGUGGGUUUCUGUGAGUUCAAGGCCAGCCUGAUCUACAGAGGACAUUCCAGGACAGCCAGAACUACAUACUGAGACCCUGUCUCAAAAACAAAACAAACAAGCAAAAACAUAAAACAAAAACAGAUUAUACAUCUACACUAGAUAUAAUUUGUAUUACUAUAUUUCUUCUUAAAGUUGAUGGUUUCAGGAAGAAACCUAAAAUUUAUAUUAGCUGUGUAUGAUGACGCAUAUCUUUAAUCCCAGCAGUUGAGAGACAGGCAGGCAGAUCCCUGUGAGAUGGAGGCUAGUCUGUUCUACAUAGUGAGUUCC
rnacentral:lncRNA from 1 species